UUAGAUAUCUAUUCAAGACCUUGUAUUCUUGGGAAUGCCAAUUACCUUUGUCAGUGUCAUCAAACAUUACUUAACGUUUGAUCUUUCGUUCGUCUGUAAUUUUCCUACUUUGGAGUGACAAAAGUUCACUUUUGAGGCAAGUAAAAAUUUCAAAAUCUAAAUUAUAUAA